CUUCUGAAUAACAUAUGCUGUCUUGAUUUUUCUAUAGGUUGUAAUCGAGAAGUCAACCGAUGAUGAUUUACCAUCAGGGUGGAUUAAGGAAGUUAAGAUUAGAAGGAACGUAUAUGGAGUCCGAAGAUAUUCGUAUUACACCGAUCCAGUCAGCGGCUUUGUUUUUUGCUCGAAAACUACUGUUCUUCACUAUCUAGAAACUGGAGAGAUUGCUGAAACUGCUUUUUUACCAAAGAAGGACAACAGUGGCCAAAUUUUAGUUAAUGCAGAUGAAUCACAACUCCCAGCAGCUAAGAGGAAGAAAGUGAAACAUCUUGCUGACGGCUCGUUAUAGGUGGGGAGACAUCUGAUAGGAGUAUCUUACCUGACCUAGACACGGAGACCUUCGAG